UGGGUGGUGGCGCAGUUGGCUAGCGCGUAGGUCUCAUAAUCCUGAGGUCGAGAGUUCGAGCCUCUCUCACCCCA
rnacentral:tRNA from 1 species